rnacentral:rRNA from 1 species
ACGCUCGACACCUACUGGAGGCAGCAGUGGGGAAUAUUGCACAAUGGGGGAAACCCUGAUGCAGCGACGCCGCGUGGAGGAAGAAGGUCUUCGGAUUGUAAACUCCUGUUGUUGGGGAAAAAGAGGAUGGUACCCAACAAGGAAGUGACGGCUAACUACGUGGCAGCAGCCGCGGUAAUCUGAGCGGGCUGGCAAGGC